rnacentral:tRNA from 1 species
ACCUUCGUGGUCUAAUGGUCAGCACACUCGACGUGUAUUCGAGAGGUCCAUGGUUCGAGUCCCAGCGAGGGCA